rnacentral:misc_RNA from 1 species
AACGCACAUUGCGCCCCUUGGUAUUCCAUGGGGCAUGCCUGUUCGAGCGUCAUUUGUACCCUCAAGCUCUGCUUGGUGUUGGGUGUUUGUCCUCUCCAUUGCGAUUAGGACUCGCCUUAAAGUAAUUGGCAGCCAGUGUAUUGGUCUUGAAGCGCAGCACAAUUUGCGAUUCUUGCUAAUCAUCACAGGCAUCCACAAAGCCUUUUUUAACACUUUUGACCUCGGAUCAGGUAGGGAUACCCGCUGAACUUAA